UACGUAGGGGGCAAGCGUUGUCCGGAUUUAUUGGGCGUAAAGCGCGUGUAGGCGGCCAGGUAGGUCCGCUGUGAAAACCCGAGGCUCAACCUCGGGACGUCGGCGGAAACCAUCUGGCUAGAGUCCGGAAGAGGAGAGUGGAAUUCCCGGUGUAGCAGUGAAAUGCGUAGAUAUCGUGAGGAAGACCAGUUGCGAAGGCGGAUCUCUGGGCAGUUCCUGACACUGAGGCACGAAGGCCAGGGGAGCAAACGGG
rnacentral:rRNA from 1 species